rnacentral:rRNA from 1 species
UACAGAGGUCCCGAGCGUUGUUCGGAUUCACUGGGCGUAAAGGGUGCGUAGGUGGUGACGUAAGUCGGAUGUGAAAUCUCGGAGCUCAACUCCGAAACGGCAUUGGAAACUGCGUUGCUAGAGGGUUGGAGGGGGACUGGAAUGCUUGGUGUAGCAGUGAAAUGCGUAGAUAUCAAGCGGAACACCAGUGGCGAAGGCGAGUCCCUGGACAACACCUGACACUGAGGCACGAAAGCUAGGGAGCAAACAGG